AUUGAACGCUGGCGGCAUGCCUUACACAUGCAAGUCGAACGGCAGCACGGGAGCAAUCCUGGUGGCGAGUGGCGAACGGGUGAGUAAUAUAUCGGAACGUGCCCAGUCGUGGGGGAUAACGUAGCGAAAGCUACGCUAAUACCGCAUACGAUCUAUGGAUGAAAGCGGGGGAUCGCAAGACCUCGCGCGAUUGGAGCGGCCGAUAUCAGAUUAGGUAGUUGGUGAGGUAAAGGCUCACCAAGCCGACGAUCUGUAGCUGGUCUGAGAGGACGACCAGCCACACUGGGACUGAGACACGGCCCAGACUCCUACGGGAGGCAGCAGUGGGGAAUUUUGGACAAUGGGCGCAAGCCUGAUCCAGCAAUGCCGCGUGCAGGAUGAAGGCCUUCGGGUUGUAAACUGCUUUUGUACGGAACGAAACGGUGAGCUCUAAUACAGUUUGCCAAUGACGGUACCGUAAGAAUAAGCACCGGCUAACUACGUG
rnacentral:rRNA from 1 species